UCGCGUUAUUAUACUAUAUAUAAUACAUGUAGUUAUACAUACGUACGUACUACGAUGUGGAAUUCAUCGCACGCAGCAGAUGUACUAUCCGCAUUUCGGCUUGUCAUUUGGAGAAGUUAAAAACGAGCAAAGUGACUCUCGCCAAUUAGCCAGCGUCUGAAAGCAAAGAUGAAGAAGAGGCUCGACCGGAGGACAGGCAGCGAACUCGAUCGGAUCCGAGGACGGCAAAUCUGGCGGAUCUCCAACGCGGGCAUGCAGCGCGCUUUGUGUACCUCCGUCCCUCUCUUCUCCUCUCUCUCUCCGUCUCUCGCUCUCUUGGCGGUGGCUUCAUUGUCCGCUCGGGAGGAAAAGCCGAUAUUGAGAACGUUCGCAAAGCCCCCAACGGGUAUGCCUACGUACCUAUUUUAUUUUCGCCUCUACACAUAUACGUAUCCGUACACAGACAAGAGGUGCACGUAGCUGAUGCGAUGCCACGGCGGCAGCUCCAACGGCAGUCCCGCAGCAGCGGCAACAGCAGCCUCGUGCCCUCGGGGCAAAUCCCGAACCCCGAUCCUCCCGACGUAAACUUGCAAGCCCUAACCUUCCGGAGGUUGCAGGUAUGUAGGUAUUCACGAAGAGAUGGAUGCAGGUAUAGAAGCAACGCAUGCCGCGUGUACACGCCUCACCCACGUUCAUCCGUCUCAAGGAGAGACUCGCGGAAAGUAUCGCAGACCGCAAAUUGCACCCGAUUGUACCCUCUGUACACACACGGCAUCCAGAGUUUCAGAUGAAUGAUGGACAAAUUCUUCUGCGGUGGAGUAAAUCAAGAAAAAAAAAGAACUGAGAUUUUAAUCAACGGUCACUGUCGACACGAUAAUACACUCAGCACUAAGUGAGCACUGAAUUGCGCUAAUCGACAUCAGCGAAUCAGCUAUCGUGCGUUUCGAGGAAUUUAUAGGAACGUCAUCUUGGAUGUCCUUACCAUCAUAACAUGUAAAUUAGGAUAGAAUUUGAGGAUGAUGGAAUAUAAAGUGUAUUUUCUCACGAUCAAACCAGUGAUUAAUAAACUAAAAUAAAUUUCAAA